AAUGUCUCCCGAACUGAAAAAUACCGUCAAAAGUUUAUUUGGAGGUGUAAUUACAAACAAUGUUGUAUCCUUGGAUUGUGAACAUGUUAGUCAAACUGCUGAAGAGUUUUAUACUGUGAGGUGCCAAGUGGCUGAUAUGAAGAACAUUUAUGAAUCUCUUGAUGAAGUUACUAUAAAAGACACUUUGGAAGGUGAUAACAUGUAUACUUGUUCUCAUUGUGGGAAGAAAGUACGAGCUGAAAAAAGGGCAUGUUUUAAGAAAUUGCCUCGCAUUUUGAGUUUCAAUACUAUGAGAUACACAUUUAAUAUGGUCACGAUGAUGAAAGAGAAAGUGAAUACACACUUUUCCUUCCCAUUACGUUUGGACAUGACGCCCUAUACAGAAGAUUUUCUUAUGGGAAAGAGUGAGAGGAAAGAAGGUUUUAAAGAAGUCAGUGAUCAUUCAAAAGACUCAGAGAGCUAUGAAUAUGACUUGAUAGGAGUGACUGUUCACACAGGAACGGCAGAUGGUGGACACUAUUAUAGCUUUAUCAGAGAUAUAGUAAAUCCCCAUGCUUAUAAAAACAAUAAAUGGUAUCUUUUUAAUGAUGCUGAGGUAAAACCUUUUGAUUCUGCUCAACUUGCAUCUGAAUGUUUUGGUGGAGAGAUGACGGUAAACCUAUGAUUCUGUUACAGAUAAAUUUAUGGACUUCUCUUUUGAAAAGACACACAGUGCAUAUAUGCUGUUUUACAAACGCAUGGAACCAGAGGAAGAAAAUGGCAGAGAAUACAAAUUUGAUGUUUCGUCAGAGUUACUAGAGUGGAUUUGGCAUGAUAACAUGCAGUUUCUUCAAGACAAAAACAUUUUUGAACAUACAUAUUUUGGAUUUAUGUGGCAAUUGUGUAGUUGUAUUCCCAGUACAUUACCAGAUCCUAAAGCUGUGUCCUUAAUGACAGCAAAGUUAAGCACUUCCUUUGUCCUAGAGACAUUUAUUCAUUCUAAAGAAAAGCCCACGAUGCUUCAGUGGAUUGAACUGUUGACGAAACAGUUUAAUAAUAGUCAGGCAGCUUGUGAGUGGUUUUUAGAUCGUAUGGCUGAUGACGACUGGUGGCCAAUGCAGAUACUAAUUAAGUGCCCUAAUCAAAUUGUGAGACAGAUGUUUCAGCGUUUGUGUAUCCAUGUGAUUCAGAGGCUGAGACCUGUGCAUGCUCAUCUCUAUUUGCAGCCAGGAAUGGAAGAUGGGUCAGAUGAUAUGGAUACCUCAGUAGAAGAUAUUGGUGGUCGUUCAUGUGUCACUCGCUUUGUGAGAACCCUGUUAUUAAUUAUGGAACAUGGUGUAAAACCUCACAGUAAACAUCUUACAGAGUAUUUUGCCUUCCUUUACGAAUUUGCAAAAAUGGGUGAAGAAGAGAGCCAAUUUUUGCUUUCAUUGCAAGCUAUAUCUACAAUGGUACAUUUUUACAUGGGAACAAAAGGACCUGAAAAU
rnacentral:lncRNA from 1 species